GAUCCUGGAAGCCAUUCAAGAUCAGAUGUAAGGAUCAGGCCUUGGGUGGUUGGUUGACUGGUUCCAGGUGUUCACGCCCUCUGUCUCUGCCUGCCAGAUGCGGAUCAUCACCAUCAUCAUUUCAUCCAUAAAGAUUUUUGCGGCACAAGCAGCAUCUUACGGAGGCUGGAGAGCAGAGGAAACUGCGCAGUCCUGUGUAGCCUUGGUGCCUGGGUUGAGGACCGUGCUGGAAUUGAACUCAGAGAUGAGUCCAUGGUGCCUGAGACUGCAGUCCAGCCUCCGUCCAGCUCAGCUGCAGACAGGGCCCCAGGCAGCAUGGGCUGGGGUACAACAUGGGCUGAGCACAGUGAACGCACUGAUUAAAGCAGCCCCUGGGGUGGGGGGACUCUGGAUGAUCAGCCUAACAGCCACACUAAAGAAACAGCAAUAAAGGAAAGAAUUAAAACCUGUUGUAUGAAAUGUCUGGAGUACAAAAAUAGAAAACAAAAAAGCAGAAAAAUGUGCCACAUCCCAAAGAGAAAGCACAAUCAGUAAAAGCAGACUACGAGAUGAUCAGUUAUUGAAAUUAGCUAAUGAGGAUUUUUAAAUAACUAUUAUAAAUGUGUUCAAGAAUUUACAAGGAAAAGUGGGUAUCAUGUAUUACAAUGGAAUAUUUUAUAAGAGAAMUGUAACUACAGAAAAAGAAUGGAAGGAAAAUUCUAGAACUGAAAAAUGAAAUAUUUGAGAUUAAAAAUUCACUUGUGGGUUUAAGAGCAGAAUGAACACUGAAGACCAAAGGUCAGUAAUCUUGAAAAUGACCCAGAAGCAGAAAUUAUUUCAAGUGGGGCUUGAAAUGAACAGAACCUCAGUGCCCUGUGCCUUAUACUAGAUACACGUGUGCUCUUAUAACCCUAGAUGUCAGAGAGAAUGAGAUCCACAAUACUUAGAUAUGUAAUGGUUGAAUGUUUCUGAUUUUUAAAAAAUAUUAUUUAUUUUUACAGCUUUAAUUAAUUAAUUAAUUAAUUAAUUAAUUUUUAUGUGGUGCUAAGAAUCAAACCCAGUGCUUCCUACAUGCUAGGCAAGCAUUCUACCACUUAGCUACAACAGCAAUCCCUCUCAUUUUGAUAUGAUAAAAUAUCUUCCACAUAUUUAAGAAGUUUAGUGAAUACCAAGCAGUACUGCACUUAUGCAUGUAAUAAUAAAAUUUCUUAAAACCAAAAUUAUGAAAAUAUU
rnacentral:lncRNA from 1 species